UGGGGAUACAUUCGCAGUGCCACACCUC
rnacentral:piRNA from 1 species